GUCGAGCGAACAGACGAGGAGCUUGCUUCUCUGACGUUAGCGGCGGACGGGUGAGUAACACGUGGAUAACCUACCUAUAAGACUGGGAUAACUUCGGGAAACCGGAGCUAAUACCGGAUAAUAUAUUGAACCGCAUGGUUCAAUAGUGAAAGACGGUUUUGCUGUCACUUAUAGAUGGAUCCGCGCCGCAUUAGCUAGUUGGUAAGGUAACGGCUUACCAAGGCAACGAUGCGUAGCCGACCUGAGAGGGUGAUCGGCCACACUGGAACUGAGACACGGUCCAGACUCCUACGGGAGGCAGCAGUAGGGAAUCUUCCGCAAUGGGCGAAAGCCUGACGGAGCAACGCCGCGUGAGUGAUGAAGGUCUUCGGAUCGUAAAACUCUGUUAUUAGGGAAGAACAAAUGUGUAAGUAACUAUGCACGUCUUGACGGUACCUAAUCAGAAAGCCACGGCUAACUACGUGCCAGCAGCCGCGGUAAUACGUAGGUGGCAAGCGUUAUCCGGAAUUAUUGGGCGUAAAGCGCGCGUAGGCGGUUUUUUAAGUCUGAUGUGAAAGCCCACGGCUCAACCGUGGAGGGUCAUUGGAAACUGGAAAACUUGAGUGCAGAAGAGGAAAGUGGAAUUCCAUGUGUAGCGGUGAAAUGCGCAGAGAUAUGGAGGAACACCAGUGGCGAAGGCGACUUUCUGGUCUGU
rnacentral:rRNA from 1 species